rnacentral:rRNA from 1 species
CGAAGGGGGCUAGCGUUGUUCGGAAUCACUGGGCGUAAAGCGUACGUAGGUGGUGCAGAAAGUCAGGUGUGAAAUCCCGAGGCUUAACCUCGGAAUGGCAUUUGAAACUCCUGUGCUAGAGUGUGACAGAGGAUGAUGGAAUUCCUAGUGUAGCGGUGAAAUGCGUAGAUACUAGGAGGAACACCAGUGGCGAAGGCGGUCAUCUGGGUCAUAACUGACACUAAGGUACGAAAGCGUGGGUAGCAAACAGGAUUAGAUACCCUGGUAGUCCACGCCCUAAACGAUGGAUGCUAGAUGUCGGGACGCAAGUCUCGGUAUCGCAGCUAACGCGUUAAGCAUCCCGCCUGGGGAGUACGGUCGCAAGAUUA